CUCUCAGGAGUCUACAUCCCAAGAUGUUCUAACUUCCAGAGUCUCCAAGCCCAUCAAGAGCAAGUUUUGCUAAAAGUGUUCUGAGAGCUUAUGAAGCACAUGGACAAGGAAGAGUUGUGCAUCCAGCUUUCUACCUUAAACUGGUUUCUAUGGUGCUUCAUUGAUGGAAUAAGGAUGAACAGGGAGACCCCAGGCCAGGUACCUUCUUUCCCCCAGCCCAGGGGUCUGGCUUCCCCAGGAGGACCCAGCUCACCCCCACCCCACAGGAGGCACAGGCAGGUCUCUGCAGGGCACACAAGCCAGGACCUGUCUGAUGGGAGCAUCACACACCAGACACCAGGGAAUUCUGGGCAGACUGGGCCAGGACCCAUCUUGGAAGAGCCAGAGGAGCCAGAGAAGCCACAAGCCCUCAGGAAGCCCCUUAUUCUGGGAGCCACAUUUCUGCUGAGAUGAGUCCAUCCCCAUGAAGAGCUGCUGGACCUUGUCUGACCCAGCCUUACGGAAGAUGGAGCGGGUCUCUUCCCAAGCAGAGGGAGCCUCAGGAAGUCCAGACUGAGGCCCUGCUCAAGCCACCAGCUCCCAAGCUGGAAAGGCCAGGUCCUCCCACACCUGCUGUUCCCACAGACUUCCUUCAUGCUCAUCCUGAGGCUCUGGGAUGUCUACCUCCUGGAAGGAGUUCCUUCAGGACACACUGUCCUAGGCCUGGGCCCUGGAGGAGGAUGUGGUGAUGAGGCACCCUGAGGCCUCCAUGGGGGAACUCAGAAGCAUGCACUGUGACCUGCAC